ensembl:lncRNA
UCCUUUAUAGCCCGCCCUCUUUCCUCUGUCACUUCCGACCCGGUUGCCAUCUUGCCUGGGAAGGACCAGCUGCUGCAAUGUCCGUGUUCCCGGCGCUCCGCGCGCUGCUCCGGCCCCGCCUCGCGCCGCCCGCUCGCGCCCUGCACUCGUACCCGCCGGAGAGUCGCGUGGGGCCGCUGGAGACUGUCCUCAGCCUGGGCGCCUUCUUCCUGGCCUUCCUGGGCCCGUCGGGCUGGAUCCUGACCCGCCUGGAGAGCUACAAGAAGCGCGACUGAGCGAGCGGGCUCUGAUCCAUGCUGGCUGCCCGCACCCGGCCCCCGCAUUCCGCCCUCGGUCCCCGGGGCUGCUGACUUAUUCCAUGGCCCCAUGUGGAGCAGCGGGGUUGCUGCCAUGCCAGUGGCAGUGAUUGGGUAUUGGCCACCAGUCACAGGUCUUGGAAGCCGCAGAGAGAAAUGACCCAGAGAGAUGCCACAUCCCACUACAGCUUCCCACUUUCCAGGAUCACGCCGCUGAAGGCCAUGGCUAGUACUGGCAGCUGGUGGGAAGAUCACAGCACCCUGGUCAGAGCUGGUGAGCCCAGGGACAGGCCAGCAUGUCUCAGGAAGCAUUUGAGGAGCCAGAAGGAGAAGCAGAGCAUUGCUGAGCGGCUGAGCCUUGGCUUCACCUUGGUGCCCAGGAAGUCUCCCCUGGGCUAUUACCUGGGCAGGCUUGUGCCCUCCAAGACCUGCUCCUUCCGCCGAAGCCUGCCUGUGGAGGCCAGCCUGGGUGUUGCCUGUCAGCCUGUGCUGUGCUCUCCCAACACCAUCGCCUCCCACAGAGCUUCUGCAGGGGCCUGGCUGGCUAGCGCUGCCCUGAAAACAGGCCGUGCCAUGGACCACACCCAGCUCAGGGGCAGCAGGAUCCUCCUGCCCCCAACCAAGCCAGCUCUCAGAGUGAGACCCAUCUCCUUGCCUAUAGCAGGGCCAUUUGAGCCAACCCGUCCUGCUGCCUGGGAGCCCAAACCCACCAGCAGGCACAAGCUUGCUGUGGUCAAACCAGCUGUCAAUGCCAGGAGGGCCCGGCUGGCAGAAUGGCAAGCUGCCAAGGGCAAGGUGCUGAAGAGACCCCCAAGCGUAAUGAUCCCAGAUCUGCCCAAGAGAUGCUUGUCCAAGAAGCCCCCUGUCCUGUCCUCCUGGACCACCAUAACAGAUGAAGAGGAGACAAGAUCAGAGCUGGACCAAGCCAGCCUGGCAGUUCCGGAGCAGCCCAGCCAAGCUGGCAGGCAUCUAGCAGAUGAGCAGUGUGGAUCGGUGAGGGCUGUGGACAAUGGCAAGAGACUCCUGUAUGCAUCUACGCUGCAGAUCAGUGUGUGGAAAAGAGUACGCAAGCUGUCUCACUCUGACCUACACCAGUCUUCUCUGGCUGCAGAGUGAAGCCAUUUUGUUACUGGCCUAUAUCCCUUGCUCAAUCUGUCCUGGUUGAUCUGAGAAGAGUUUGGGAAGGAGAGAAGAGAUCUCCAUUCUGUCUGCAUUUGGAAGCUCCCAGAACUGUCUCUUUAGCCUUCCAGUCAUGUACAGCCCCCUCAAAGCACUGCAUGGCAUGAAAUAUUUCCUGUACUAGCUGUCAAGGACCCUUGUAGAGAAUCCAAAGCUUUGGAACCCUAAAGACAUGUUUCAUGUCGGGGGUGGGGGGGAGAAUGAACUGGGGCAAGCCAUAACCCCCAAAAGGGCUGCAGAUCUAAAUGUCUUGUCUUUCAUGGCUGGAUCAGCACUCCAGCAUUGCUCCCUUCUACCUUUUUAUAUCUAUCGUCUGUCACCAAGCUGUUCACAAAGGCAUGUUUUAUGUAACUUGUACUGAAUUCUUCAAUAAAGUCUUUAAUAAAGAUUCUACAUUGUGG